GAGGCGGCGCCGAGCGCGAAAGAGACAUCAAAGGCCGCGACGAAGGCCGCCGUAGCGAACGACUUCGACCUUCUCCAAAGUGGCCAACCCCACCGCGUCGACCACGGUCAGGGUAUUGAUGAAGACCCUCAGCGCGGCCUCUUCAUCGACGACCUCGACGAUGAUCGGCAGGUUUGGCGCCAGGUCGAAUGGCUGACCCCCGUGCAGGGUUUUGGAGGAACCAAAGCCCUGCACGCCCCGCA
rnacentral:sRNA from 1 species